GCAGCAGAGAAAUCACCGUUCCCCAGGCCUUGCCGGGACUACGAGGCAGCAGAGAGCAUUGUGGCAGGACGGUUUUUCCUUCUGAAGGGUGGUUAAUGAGCAAUGUAGGUGAAGACCCCUGAGAGAUACCUGGGCAUCCUGCCCACCCAAAUAGAAGACCGCGUUGAGAUGGCAGUCGGAGAUGGAGCCCAUGACCAGAGAGAGGGACAGAGGAGAGGAGCGCGGGGACAGUGCCGGACACAAAGUAAAAGCGCUGCCAGUUCAUUUAGGAAGGAAAAUGAGAGAGAGAAAGAAAGCAUAAUCAAAAGCCUACAUGACAAAGAGUUGACAGUCAGAUUCUGUGGUAAAUGAUUCCAGAGUCGCUGGCCUGCGGAGACGCUGAGGAAGUCCCCAGCAGACCUGAUUAAUUCCAGUCUCUCCAGCUGCCAGGGGAGCAGAGGGAAGUCACUAAGGAGCAGCCCUGUCACAACAGCCUCCAAAGGACAGAGAGUGAACCACAGAGGAAAUUCGAAUGCAUGUACAGUGGGUUCCAUUACCAGGGAGCCUGAGCUUGGGACAAGAGGAGCUCAUCACCACCAGAAAAUACUACCAACAUGCCCAAGAGUUUGUUUCCCAUACUUUUAAAGAAAAAGAAAAAUGGAUGGUUCUGAAAUCACCUGGGUUUGUUUUAUUACAUUAUAUCUUCUGGCAAGAUCAGUGAUGGCAGAUGUGAUUCAGCAAUAGAAGCAUGGCUGUACUGGAGGGGACUGACAAGAACGUUUGCAGUCGGUAGUGUUCCUCAGUACUCAUCAAUUUGUGAGCCACAAGAAAUUCUAGCUCUGGAGGCGGAUGGUGGGAGUGAAGCGGACCAGCCGGCCAUUCCCUGUUGCCUACCUGUGGUGGCUCUGCCCAGUCAUCGGUGUCCACUGUUCAGCAUGCAUUCUUUAUGGACAAUCUUAUUCAAGAAAAUAGUUGCAAAAGAGCAAGACAAAAUUCAAAUGAUGUACACUUGAACACUUGCCUACAGAGGUGACAGUUGCCCCAAAAAGUUUGCUGUAAAGUUUGGAGGAGGAAGACACUUCCUGUCUUGAAAUAUAAAUAUGAGUAUCAAAAA
rnacentral:lncRNA from 1 species